CCUACGGGGGGCGGCAGUGAGGAAUAUUGCACAAUGGAGGAAACUCUGAUGCAGCAACGCCGCGUGGAGGAUGACGCAUUUCGGUGUGUAAACUCCUUUUAUGAGCCAAGAUAAUGACGGUAGCUCAUGAAUAAGCACCGGCUAACUCCGUGCCAGCAGCCCCGGUC
rnacentral:rRNA from 1 species